AUUGAACGCUGGCGGCAGGCCUAACACAUGCAAGUCGAGCGAGCGGCGGACGGGUGAGUAAUGUCUGGGAAACUGCCUGAUGGAGGGGGAGAAAUACUGGAAACGGUAGCUAAUAACGCAUACCAUCAGAUGUGCCCAGAUGGGCUUAGCUAGUAGGUGGGGUACUGGCUUACCUAGGCGACGAUCCCGAGCUGGUCUGAGAGGAUGACCGGCCACACUGUAACGGAGACACGGUCCAGACUCCUACGGGAGGCAGCAGUGGGGAAUAUUGCACAAUGGGCGCAAGCCUGAUGCAGCCAUGCCGCGUGUGUGAAGAAGGCCUUCGGUUUGUAAAUCACUGUCAGCGGGGAGGCGUUACCCGCUGAGAAAGCCCCGGCUAACUCCGUGCCAGCAGCCGCGGUAAUUC
rnacentral:rRNA from 1 species